AGGGAAUCUUGCGCAAUGGACGGGAGUCCGACGCAGCGACGCCGCGUGGGUGAAGGCGGCCUUCGGGUUGUAAAGCCCUUUUCUGGGGGAAGAGAGAGGACGGUACUCCAGGAAUAAGUGUCGGCUAACUACGUGCCAGCAGCCGCGGUAAUACGUAGGACACGAGCGUUAUCCGGAUUUACUGGGCGUAAAGCGCCUGUAGGCGGUUCUUCAAGUCGUUUGUGAAAGCCCUGGGCUCAACCUGGGGAGGUCAAGCGAUACUGGAGGACUUGAGGGUGACAGAGGGGAGUGGAAUUUCCGGUGUAGCGGUAAAAUGCGCAGAUAUCGGGAGGAACACCAGUGGCGAAGGCGGCUCCCUGGGUCAACCCUGACGCUGAGAGGCGAAAGCUAGGGGAGCAAAC
rnacentral:rRNA from 1 species